UACGUAGGGUGCAAGCGUUAAUCGGAAUUACUAGGCGUAAAGCGUGCGCAGGCGGUGAUGUAAGACAGUUGUGAAAUCCCCGGGCUCAACCUGGGAACUGCAUCUGUGACUGCAUUGCUGGAGUGCGGCAGAGGGGGAUGGAAUUCCGCGUGUAGCAGUGAAAUGCGUAGAUAUGCGGAGGAACACCGAUGGCGAAGGCAAUCCCCUGGGCCUGCACUGACGCUCAUGCACGAAAGCGUGGGGAGCAAACAGG
rnacentral:rRNA from 1 species